AUCGAACGCUGGCGGCAUGCCUCACACAUGCAAGUCGAGCGAGCGGCGGACGGGUGAGUAAUGUAUCGGGAUCUGCCCGAUAGCCGGGGUUAACUAAUGGAAACGGUGGCUAAUACCGCAUACUAUCGGACGCACCCAUAUGGGAUUAGCUAGUAGGUGGGUUAAAGGCUCACCUAGGCGACGAUCUCUAGCUGGUCUGAGAGGAUGAUCAGCCACACUGGGACUGAGACACGGCCCAGACUCCUACGGGAGGCAGCAGUGGGGAAUAUUGGACAAUGGGCGAAAGCCUGAUGGAGCCAUGCCGCGUGUAUGAAGAAGGCCUUCGUGUUGUAAAGUACUUUCAGCGGGGAGGCGUUAGCCGCAGAAGAAGCACCGGCUAACUACGUGCCAGCAGCCGCGGUAAUAC
rnacentral:rRNA from 1 species